UUUUGGUUAUGAUGUUGGUGUGAUUUUCGGGGCCCUUAGAUUUAGUCCUCUUCUCCCAUGUCGUUUUGGUUAUGAUUUUGAUGUUUUUAGAAAACCUGCGAUAUU